rnacentral:rRNA from 1 species
CCUACGGGAGGCAGCAGUGGGGAAUAUUGGACAAUGGGGGCAACCCUGAUCCAGCCAUGCCGCGUGAGUGAUGAAGGCCUUCGGGUUGUAAAGCUCUUUUGGCGGGGACGAUGAUGACGGUACCCGCAGAAUAAGCCCCGGCUAACUUCGUGCCAGCAGCCGCGGUAAGACGAAGGGGGCUAGCGUUGUUCGGAAUUACUGGGCGUAAAGCGCGUGUAGGCGGUUGCCCAAGUCGGGUGUGAAAGCCUUGAGCUCAACUCAAGAAAUGCACUCGGUACUGGGUGACUAGAGGACCGGAGAGGAUAGUGGAAUUCCCAGUGUAGUGGUGAAAUACGUAGAGAUUGGGAAGAACACCAGUGGCGAAGGCGGCUAUCUGGACGGUUUCUGACGCUAAGACGCGAAAGCGUGGGGAGCAAACAGGAUUAGAUACCCUUGUAGUC